UACGGAGGGGGCUAGCGUUGUUCGGAAUUACUGGGCGUAAAGCGCACGUAGGCGGCUUGUAAGUUAGAGGUGAAAGCCCGGAGCUCAACUCCGGAAUAGCCUUUAAGACUGCAUCGCUAGAACGUUGGAGAGGUAAGUGGAAUUCCGAGUGUAGAGGUGAAUUCGUAGAUAUUCGGAAGAACACCAGUGGCGAAGGCGACUUACUGGACAACUGUUGACGCUGAGGUGCGAAAGCGGUGGGAGCAAACAGG
rnacentral:rRNA from 1 species